rnacentral:rRNA from 1 species
UACGGGGGGGGCAAGCGUUGUUCGGAAUUACUGGGCGUAAAGGGCUCGUAGGUGGCCAACUAAGUCAGACGUGAAAUCCCCAGGCUCAACUUGGGAACUGCGUCUGAUACUGGAUGGCUUGAAUUCGGGAGAGGGAUGCAGAAUUCCAGGUGUAGCGGUGAAAUGCGUAGAUAUCUGGAGGAAUACCGGUGGCGAAGGCGGCAUCCUGGUCCAGCAUCGACGUUCAGGCACGAAAGCGUGGGGAGCAAACAGG